AACAAAAAUAAAAAAUCAAAAUAAUAAACGCUUUGUAUUUUUUUUAGACCAGUCUCAUUGGAUCUGAAACAGACUGUGUAAGAGCGUUGAUAUAGCUUCACCGACUAUACAUCAAUGCACUUUGCAACUCGUGUGAGAAGAUAGUGAGCAGUUCGUCUGAAGUCAUUUUGAUGUUCCCUUAUGCGAACAAUAAUCCAUACUAACAGCAAUCUGUACCGACGUUCAUGUAUAUGUAAAAUUUCAUCAACUUGAGCAAUGAACCACUACUAUUGUACAAACAAUCAAAAUUUUGAGUUAUUAACGAAAAAGACUCGGCAAAUCAAUGUGAUUACAUGAAAAAUGGUUGACUGCACAAUUGGCUCUUACAGUAGCAGCGGUUAAUAUUGGGCGACAACGAAAGGCGGAAAAAAGAUACAAGUGGCGUAUGGGCAAUUGCAGUAGUUAUCUAACCUGAUUGUUGAGGUGACCCAUUUGAACAUAUAAAUGGAUUUUUUCCGGAAAUAUAAUAAAAAUAAAUAAUAGAUUUUUUUUAAUAUA